AGAGUUUGAUCCUGGCUCAGGAUGAACGCUAGCUACAGGCUUAACACAUGCAAGUCGAGGGGCAGCAUGGUCUUAGCUUGCUAAGGCCGAUGGCGACCGGCGCACGGGUGAGUAACACGUAUCCAACCUGCCGUCUACUCUUGGACAGCCUUCUGAAAGGAAGAUUAAUACAAGAUGGCAUCAUGAGUUCACAUGUUCACAUGAUUAAAGGUAUUCCGGUAGACGAUGGGGAUGCGUUCCAUUAGAUAGUAGGCGGGGUAACGGCCCACCUAGUCUUCGAUGGAUAGGGGUUCUGAGAGGAAGGUCCCCCACAUUGGAACUGAGACACGGUCCAAACUCCUACGGGAGGCAGCAGUGAGGAAUAUUGGUCAAUGGACGAGAGUCUGAACCAGCCAAGUAGCGUGAAGGAUGACUGCCCUAUGGGUUGUAAACUUCUUUUAUACGGGAAUAAAGUGAGGCACGUGUGCCUUUUUGCAUGUACCGUAUGAAUAAGGAUCGGCUAACUCCGUGCCAGCAGCCGCGGUAAUACGGAGGAUCCGAGCGUUAUCCGGAUUUAUUGGGUUUAAAGGGAGCGUAGAUGGAUGUUUAAGUCAGUUGUGAAAGUUUGCGGCUCAACCGUAAAAUUGCAGUUGAUACUGGAUAUCUUGAGUACAGUUGAGGCAGGCGGAAUUCGUGGUGUAGCGGUGAAAUGCUUAGAUAUCACGAAGAACUCCGAUUGCGAAGGCAGCCUGCUAAGCUGCAACUGACAUUGAGGCUCGAAAGUGUGGGUAUCAAACAGGAUUAGAUACCCUGGUAGUCCACACGGUAAACGAUGAAUACUCGCUGUAGGCGAUAUACAGUCUGCGGCCAAGCGAAAGCAUUAAGUAUUCCACCUGGGGAGUACGCCGGCAACGGUGAAACUCAAAGGAAUUGACGGGGGCCCGCACAAGCGGAGGAACAUGUGGUUUAA
rnacentral:rRNA from 1 species